GAGGGAGAGAGAGAGAGAGAGAGAGAGAGAGAGAGAGUCUAUUGAAUAACUGUUGGUACUGCAAUCUCCCCUCAUUCACCCCCCUCUCUCUCUUUAUAGAUCUCCUGUCUGCUUUCUCUUUCCCUCAUAUGUCCCCGCAUCGUGUCUUAUCAGUCUUUCUCCUCCUCUUUUGCAUCCAUCCUCCCGCCCCUUGUCCAUCUCUACCUCCGCAUCCCUUUCUCUCCGCUCCAUCACUCUCUUAUGCCUCAUCACACCACAUGCUCUCCAUUUCUCUCUCUCUCUCUCUCUCUCUCUCUCUCGUUCCCCCCCUCAACACGUCUGCCCUCCGCUCUCCCGUCGGCCCCGCCGGCUCCUCACUUCAUUUGCCGCGGCGAGAAACGACAGGCUUCCUUUCCUUGAAUGGACCCGAGAAGGGAAGCUGCAAGAGUGGUCGGAGAAGUGCAGCGGGAGGAGGCGGAAGAGGAGAGCUUUUGUUUGCCAUCCCUCCUCGGCAGCAUCAGUACCAAUUCGUUCAGCGCCGCAUCCUCCUGUUUCCUACUGGGAUCAACCUCCUCCUUCUUUUCAGGGAGCUCUUCCUACAACUGGGAGGGGGAGGGAGAUCACCACCUCCCAGUUUGCUACGGACCCUCAGGAAGGCAUCAGGCUGAAAGAGCGCAGGAAGGGGAGGGAAUUUUAGAGGUGCGCCAGGAGAGGCAACACCCUGGGCUUCAGAAAAAGGAAGAAAAGCGGCCCCAGUUCUCAUUAUGACAGGGCCGAGCUACAGUGGAAACGACAGUGGCCAAGAACCCCAAAAGUCACCAAUGGAAGCUGACCUGGUUGUGGUUGAGAGGAGCCAUUGAUGGAACUUUGCCUCACACUGCAGUGAGGCGUCUUCAAUCAAUGCAACCGCCACCUUUUCGCAAUCUGUUUAUGUGUCUGUUUGCCACUGGAGCAUGAAGAAGGUUCUGCCGAUGGCAGCAGUGAUGGCCAUGGUGGUGGGGAUGAUGAUGCAAUGGCAGUGGAACUGCUCACAUGGUUUCUGGUUAGCCUCCUGUGUAUGUUGAAAGACUCUCUUCGGUGACGGGUAUUCUUGGGUGGAUAAUACGGAUCACGUUGUUAUUGCUUAAGAAUACGCGUAGUCGAGGAGAGUCCUCUCUUCGCCCAACACCCGACACCCACCCACCCGCUUCACCUCACCGCACCUCACCCCAAUACCCUAUCCAUCCAGGGGGAGGACAAUUAUUUUGGGUGGCUGUUCCUUGAACUUGAAAUCAUUGCAAUUUGUUGCUUUCCCUGCCUUUAUGCAUCUGUCUUUUUGGUGGUGGGCAGAAUUGUGUCCGUUUUCCUUUCCGUGUGUUUGUCUGCUGUGUUGCUUGGUAGGUUGUUUGAUGAAUGAGAUUUGAGCACAGGGUCAGUAUGUGCCGCAAUAAGGAGAAGCGGUGAUUUUAUUUAAUAUGACAUCAAUAUGGCAUUUGAGUCAGCCUUUGUUUUCCUGAGAUGACCAACGUAGCAGAACACCCAACUUUCCAACCAGUUCCUUUGAUCUGUGCUGUACUGUGAAAAUAUAUGUCUUGUAAAUUUCAUACAAGACAAAGUAGAGUGUCGAUAACAACCCCGCCCAAUUUAAAUGAUGAGAGAAAAAAAAAAUCACCGGCUCGGUUCCAAACUUCGACUUAUAAGUAGUUUAGCCUCACAGUGCAGAGGUACAGGGCUCAAUUCUGACCGGCUAUGGCCUUUCUAUGUGGAGUUUGCAUGUUCUCCCUGCGCCUUCGUGGGUUUUCUCCGGGUACUCCGAUGUCCUCCCACAUUCCAAAUGGAACACUCAACUGUCCCUAGGUGUGCUGGUUCAUCUCUGUGUGCCCUGUGAUUGGCUGGCAACCAAUUCAGGGUGUACCCCGCCUGUUGCUCGAAGACAGCUGAAAUAGACUCGGCACACCCGUGACCCUGGUGAGGAUGAACGGUUCAGAAAAUGAAUGGAUGGACAUACAGUAUAGAUACUCAUCGUGCUUGGGGUUGACUUUGGGUGCAAGCCCGAUUACACCCUGAAUUUGGUUGCCAUUCAGUCAAAGGGCACGAGACAUACACAGAACCAUAUUCUUAUACUUAUUCCCAGUUCUUCUUAUUAUUAUUGUUGGAAGUACACUAAAAUAGUCAUUCCAGCACUCGUGUUUUCCUCAUGCUCCCUAAUGACCCUAACAGGAACAAUACGUACAGAAAAUGGCUAGAUGGGCAUUUUUGGGCAUGAUUAUAAUAUAAUUUCCCUCGAAUAUAUCAGUUGUAGUCAGAAUCCUACAUAUAUAAAUAGAUACUAAUUUAUUAUUUUCUGAUGAGCAGAUGAACUGCCUGCAUGUACUGCAGCUGCGUAAGAGCCUCGCCUCAUUCCACUCAAUUCAGUGCACGUUUAUUGUCGUAGUGAGGCAAGCUAAGAUGCAGUUGAGUUUCCCCGUUCCUGGCCCGUUUAUUCCCCUUUUUUAUGCAAAUGGCCGCUCAAAGGCCAUUUAUCUCCGUCAGGUUUAUGACACUUGCAUGAUGUUUUUUUUUCUUCUGCUGAGCCACGCAAAGGAACACGCUCACAUGCGCUCAAUGGGAAAACAAAAUCUACCAUGACUGUUGGACAGCUCAAUUUAUGCAUUGCAGAACGAGGUGUUAUACAAUUACUUCUUGCUCAAAUGGUCUAGAACCAACAGCGGGACAGUUUGUGACCCAUCAAUGCACCAUGAAUAUGGUCCCAGCCCCCCUGCUCCCCUCCACCCUCCAUGUCUGAUUGGACAAUCUGAAUCUUAACACCCAUGUGAAAUCCAUUUAAACUCAUAAUAGGAUCAACUUGAGUCGGACAGUCAUGUCCUCAUACAUGUCACGUCUCGUGACGAUACGCUGGAGAUUUCCUCAUCAUGCUGAGCGAGAAGAAAUUAUUUUCACACGCUUCCUUUGAAGAAAACUAAAAUCUGAUUCGCGAUCUUAAUUGCCGCGGUGCUGUUCUGCAGAACCCAACCAAGAAAAGCAAUCUUUUUCAACCAUAUUCAAAAAACAACAAAACUAAACAAAACAAAACAAUACUACAUGAAUUAUCAUGUCUGAUUAGAAUUGAAAUAGUACAAAGUGCUUUUAGAAUAAAUGUAGUGGCCUGCUCGGAUCUAAAAGAAUGCUGAAAUUAAAAAAAAAAAUCACUCUGCAAACCAAUGAAAAGCAUUUUGCACUUGUUAAAAAAAAUAUUUUGGUUUAGAUUGAAAUAGAUUAGAUAAAUGUGUGCGAUCAUAUCCUUCUGUUUGUGUUUAUGGCUUUGUCUGCUGCUAGGCCUCCAGAAUUGAAUGACAAUUUAGGCACUAUUUUACGUACAUUUUUUUACGUUUUAUAAAAUAAUAGGUCAUAAUCAUAUAUUUUGACUCGCUCAAACAAAAACACAUUUUAUUAAAAUUGCUGAAUUCAUCCUGUAAUUUCUGAAUUAGUCAAGAGUAAAUGCUAGCCAUGUUAGCCGUUAUGCUAACUGGUCAAAUUUCGCAAUGCAUAAAAUAAAAAUUAUUAAUCUUUUAUUCUGAUGAUAUGAUAAACAGGGUUGAAAAAAAUGUAACAAACUGAUGUGCAAUUAGCUUGAUGAUGUCAUUUCUGCCAAGUCAUGUUGCUCCCCUUUUUUUUCCCUCUUCCUGCAGAUGGCUCAAAAGGUUUUCGUAACAAGGAUUCUUGAAUGAUGAGAAACCAAAUUUAGAGAAUUGAAAUAAUAUUUAGAGUCUAUUCAAUAAUAAUUAGGAACCACUUUUGAUAUGACAGCUACAUUGUGUCUCAGGAGUGCUAUACAUGUUUUCAUUGUUUUUAUUUUAAAAUGUCCUCCCUGCGAUUGGCUGACAAUCAGUUCAGGGUGUCCCAGUCUCAGUUCAAUGUCUGUUCUCUGUUUGUUUGUUGCUUUUUAUGCCAAAUGAAUUGCCCAAGAUGAUCAAUUCAGCAUCAUUUUUUUUCUUAUUGAUUAUAUCGUUUUUUUCCCCCCCAGUAUUCCUGACGUAGGCAGUCGAGAUAUGUUGCGAUUCAUGUGGUUGUGCCUGCAAUUUUACUUCUCUUUACGAAAUGGGCUGUUACGGCAGCUGAUAAAUUCCUAUUCAACCUCAAUAGGAAUGAGCAUUUCGGAAUGCAUUUCACUGAUUAUCAUAUUUCCCCCCCAGUGCCCAUUCAUAUUGUAUUGUUUUUUGUUUUUUUUUUGUCAACAAGUCCUGAAAAUAUAAUAAAUGCCUCUUGUGAGGAGCAUUUGA